GGAGAGAACACGCAAGGAAGGAAGAAACAGAUUUUUUUGAAGGAGGAAUUUUUUGGCAAGGAGAACACGGAAUAGGGAUUUUUUUUUAGAGAAUACGCAAGAGAGAAUUUUCCAAGCAAAAGAGGACACGUAAUAUUCUUUUUUAAAAGAGAGAGGAACAGAGAAUUUUCUAAGAUGAGCCACUUUAACGCAUCAAAAACGGAUUUUUCUUUAUAACACAGUAUACUUUGAAGGUGGAAGCUUUGCCUGAAGGAGUUGCCCAGAUGGAGAGGGGUGCCUUGGGCUGUGAAGGAGCUUGUGUUGGUGACGGGCUUGGUGCUGCCCAUGAUGGCUUUGGGCUUGGGUUUGAAUUUGGAGCCCAGGCCCAAACCUAUGCUGAAGAUGGAGCCCAAGGCUCUAUUUAAUAAAUGGAUGUGGGCUUAGGCUUAUGGGCUUAGGCUUAUGGAUUUAGGCUUAUAGACUGGGCUUGAUGAAGAUGGGGCUUAUUAGUGGGUUUAGGCUUAUGGACUUGGGCUUGAUGGAUGGAUAUUAUUAUUAUUAUUAUUAUUAUUGUUAUUAUUAUUGUUAUCAUUGUUACAAUUAUUAUUAUUGUUAUUAUCAUUAUUAUUAUUAUUAUUAUCAUUAA